ACGAACGCUGGCGGCGUGCCUAAUACAUGCAAGUAGAACGCUGAAGGGGGAGCUUGCUUCUCCGGAUGAGUUGCGAACGGGUGAGUAACGCGUAGGUAACCUGCCUGGUAGCGGGGGAUAACUAUUGGAAACGAUAGCUAAUACCGCAUAAUAGUAGAUGUUGCAUGACAUUUGCUUAAAAGGUGCAAUUGCACCACUACCAGAUGGACCUGCGUUGUAUUAGCUAGUUGGUGGGGUAACGGCUCACCAAGGCGACGAUACAUAGCCGACCUGAGAGGGUGAUCGGCCACACUGGGACUGAGACACGGCCCAGACUCCUACGGGAGGCAGCAGUAGGGAAUCUUCGGCAAUGGACGGAAGUCUGACCGAGCAACGCCGCGUGAGUGAAGAAGGUUUUCGGAUCGUAAAGCUCUGUUGUAAGAGAAGAACGAGUGUGAGAGUGGAAAGUUCACACUGUGACGGUAUCUUACCAGAAAGGGACGGCUAACUACGUG
rnacentral:rRNA from 1 species